AUUUCCACUGCUGCGCAGAGAGCACACGCAUCUUCGGUAGACUUGGAAUUCCUGGAGAAUUGCCUUUGUGAAAAGUUGACAUAAUCCCUUUAAAUUCCAUCUCUUUUACGUUUCCUAUUUUGUUGUGUCUCAAAAAGACAUCAAGAAACC
rnacentral:other from 1 species